UACAGAGGUCCCAAGCGUUGUUCGGAUUCAUUGGGCGUAAAGGGUGCGUAGGCGGCGCGGUAAGUCGGGUGUGAAAUCUCGGAGCUUAACUCCGAAACUGCAUUCGAUACUGCCGUGCUUGAGGACUGGAGAGGAGACUGGAAUUUACGGUGUAGCGGUGAAAUGCGUAGAUAUCAGGAGGAACACCGGUGGUGUAGACGGCUUUCUGGACCGUAACUGACGCUGAGACACGAAAGCGUGGGUAGCAAACAGG
rnacentral:rRNA from 1 species